rnacentral:misc_RNA from 1 species
GAUGAAGAACGUAGCGAAAUGCGAUAAGUAGUGUGAAUUGCAGAAUUCAGUGAAUCAUCGAAUCUUUGAACGCACAUUGCGCCCCUUGGUAUUCCAUGGGGCAUGCCUGUUCGAGCGUCAUUUGUACCUUCAAGCUCUGCUUGGUGUUGGGUGUUUUGUCUCGCCUCUGCGUGUAGACUCGCCUUAAAACAAUUGGCAGCCGGCGUAUUGAUUUCGGAGCGCAGUACAUCUCGCGCUUCGCACUCAUAACGGCGACGUCCAAAAGUACAUUUUUACACUCUUGACCUCGGAUCAGGUAGGGAUACCCGCUGAACUUAAGCAUAUCAAUAAGCGGAGGA